rnacentral:rRNA from 1 species
UACAGAGGGUGCAAGCGUUAAUCGGAAUUACUGGGCGUAAAGCGAGCGUAGUCGGUUAUUUAAGUCGGGUGUGAAAGCCCCGGGCUCAACCUGGGAAUUGCAUUCGAUACUGGAUAGCUAGAGUUCGGCAGAGGGAAGCGGAAUUUCCGGUGUAGCGGUGGAAUGCGCAGAUAUCAGGAGGAACACCGAUGGCGAAGGCAGGUCUCUGGGCCACUACUGACGCUGAGAAGCGAAAGCAUGGGGAGCGAACAGG